rnacentral:rRNA from 1 species
UGGGGAAUAUUGCACAAUGGGCGCAAGCCUGAUGCAGCAACGCCGCGUGAACGAUGAAGGUCUUCGGAUCGUAAAGUUCUGUUGCAGGGGAAGAUAAUGACGGUACCCUGUGAGGAAGCCCCGGCUAACUACGUGCCAGCAGCCGCGGUAAUACGUAGGGGGCUAGCGUUUCCGGAUUUACUGGGCGUAAAGGGUGCGUAGGUGGUCUUUCAAGUCGGUGGUUAAAGGCUACGGCUCAACCGUAGUUAGCCUCCGAAACUGGAAGACUUGAGUGCAGGAGAGGAAAGUGGAAUUCCCAGUGUAGCGGUGAAAUGCGUAGAUAUUGGGAGGAACACCAGUAGCGAAGGCGGCUUUCUGGACUGCAACUGACACUGAGGCACGAAAGCGUGGGUAGCAAACAGG